AAAUAAAAUAAAUAAAUAAAUUAAAAAGGGUAUCUGGCUGCUGGAGUAAGCAGAGACUAAAGCUGAAGGGAGGCAAAGGCACGGAGGCAGGAGCCCACCUAGUAGCUGGAGGUGCUGAUCUGGGCAGAAGAUGAUGGGGGUGUUGGAGUGGAGGUUGCAGUAUUGGUGAUGGGAGGUGGUGAGAUUCUGGGCGUAUAGUAUUUUGAUAGCAAAGCUGACAGGAUUUGCUGAUGUAUUGAAUGUGGGAGAGAAGAAGGAUUAAAAGCCCAGGGGUUUGGAUCUGAGCAAUUGGAAGGAUCAGGUUGCCAUUUCUGAGAUGAGGAAGACCGUAGGAGGAGCAGAUAUGGUGGGGGAAUAAGGAAUAUUUUUUGGGCAUUUUAGGGUUGAGAUAACUCUUAGAUAUCCUUAGGGUAGUUGAAUAAGUAUGUCUGGGAAAUCAGGGGAAAGGUCUAUUAUGGAGAAAAAUACUUAGGAGUAGUCUGUGUAGUGUUUUCAAUUCUGAAUCAGGUCACCAGGAUUGAUAAGAGAUAGCAAAGUGGUCUCAAGAAUUCAGCUCUGGUGGUGGGUGUGCGUGUAGGGUAAUUCAUUGUUUAAAAGUUUGGGAGAGGAGAGGCAGCAAGGGAGAUGAAGAAAAUGUGGCCAUUGAGGUAAGCAGAGAAGCAAGAGAGUUUGAGAAAAUACGAAUGUUGAGGUAAGUAGAGAAGCAAGAGAGUUUGGCAUUUUGGAAACCAACUAAAACAAGGUCUUUCAGGAAGAAGGAAAGGAACUGAUGUAUUAAAUGCUGCUAAUGGGUUCAGUGAAAUGAGGUCUGAUAACUAAUUAUUGGAUUUAGCAGUGUGGAGGUCAUGGGUGACCUUGUCAGGAGCUAUCUGGGGCAUUAUGGAGAUGAAUGCUUGAUUGGAGUGAGUACAAGGAAUUGGGUGGAGAACUGGAGAAAACAAAGGAAGUUUACAGUGAGUUUUGCUGAAACUUCUUAUAGAUCUUAGGUUAGCAUGGUAAUUGACUUCCCUAUCAUGAUGAGCAAAUUAAUGGGUAACUUUAUUCUUCCAAAAUGUGUAGUAAACCAUGAUUUUUAAAGUAAUUCAUCCAAUAAAAUGAACAUUCUUCCUUUUAACAUUUCCUCUGUUUAAUUGAAAGUGGUGGAUAUUUGUUAAUGGUCUUGAAAUAAUUACUUGAAUCAAU